rnacentral:lncRNA from 1 species
UAAACCUGUGGCGUAUGAAAGUUCCCAGGCUAGAGGUUGAAUCAGAGCUGCAGCUGAGAGCCUAUGGCACAGCUACAGCACCAGAUCCCAGCCCCGUCAGUAACCUACACUUCGGCUUGGGGCAAGGCCAGAUCCUCAACCCAGUGAGGCAGGCCAGGAAUCAAACCCGCAUUCUCACGGAUGCUCUGUGGGGUUCUUAACCCACUGAGCCACGUUUUGGGAACUUCUAAAAGUUUUCUUAAGGUAGUUCAUUGGAUCCAGUAUAUCCAUAAUAUUUUUACUUAAACAUAUAAUCAGUAUAAAAAUGACUAAUGUGGCAUUUUACAUUAAAAUUUUUUGAUGUCUGUUUAAAUUUUUUUUUAAAUUGAGAUAUAAUUGGCAUAUAACAUUGUGUUAUUUCAGGUAUAUAACAUAAUGAUUUUAUUUUAGUUUUGGAGCAGUUCAAUAAUUGUUUUAAUCUUGAAAGAAAUCAUCUUCGAACAAAAUGGUAACGUUUUAAGAAUUCAGAGAGUGUAAUAAAGAUGUCAGAACUGUCCAGAUGCUCAUUGUGCAAUUGGAAACCACUCAAAAGUUGACACAAGUCUCCAAAAAAGAAAAAGAAAAAAAGGUCAAUGAGCUCAUUCAUUCUUGCAACAUCUGCCAGAAGCUACGGCUUCUUCUUCUUCUUCUUCUUUUUUUUUGUCUUUUUGCCAUUUUCUUGGGUUGCUCCUGCAGCAUAUGGAGGUUCCCAGGCUAGGGGUCGAAUUGGUGCUACAGCUGCUGGCCUACACCACAGCCACAGCAAGGCCAGAUCCCCGCCCCGCUGAUGCCAGGGAUCGAACCCACAUCCUCAUGGGUAGCGGUCAGGUUUGUUUCCACUGGGCCACAACGGGAACUCUCAACAAGCUUGUUUUCAGUUGAUUGUUAACUGCUGUUUGCAGGCUCAUUUACCUGGACCAUCAACUUACUGUUGCUUUUCCCUCUGCAGAAAGGCAGAAACACUCCAGAUGUCCUCCAAUAGUUACCAAGUUUCAAUCCCGAUGUCAAAAAGGAACACCAAUGGCCUGCCGGGGUCCAGCUCCAAUGAGCUGAAGACGUCUGCUGGGGGAGCUGUGUUAAGCUUUCAUGACAUCUGCUAUCGAGUGAAAGUGAAGAGUGGCUUUCUUUUUUGUCGGAAAACGGUUGAGAAGGAAAUACUGACGAACAUCAAGUACGUCGUCCAUGAACUUUUACUGAAACAGGUUCAUUGUCGUGCAGUGCGCGUCUCAGGUUUUGCUUAGUGCAGAUCAAGGUACCGGUCUGCACAGGUAGACAGACACACGCUCUUCAUUGCUUUCGGCUAAACGAGCUGAGCGGUGAGCCAGUUGGAUGAGAUGUUGGGUGUAUGUAUGUACAUGUAAGACAACUGGAGCUUAGCUCACGUCUAAGAGACGGAAGAGAGUUUAGGACCCAAAGUAACACACUCGGUUGUCUUACAGAAUUCAAGUCCGUACAAAACUAUGAUUUUUCUUCCCGCCAUCCAGCAACUGACUCAUCACAUGGUGGUGGCGUGGGCGAUAGAGGGACCCCUGAGUGUGAGAAUAAGGAGAGGAAUGGGAGGUGAAAAGCUUUUAUCUUUUGCUGCAUAUGCCCAGACUAGCAUCGACCGACCUUUCUGAAAAGCUGCCAGGUUAUUUGUGGAGCAAAGAAUGAAGAAAAGUGCUGGUCACUUGAGAUGUUUUGCUGCUAAAUGGAAGUUAGCAAAUGAUUUGCAAUAUGUGCAGGUUGAGUAAAUUGAAUAUAUUACUGCUCGAGGGUAUAUUUGUCUUGCUUAUGUUUUGUUUGUUUGUUUGUUUGUCUUUUUUGCCAUUUCUGGGGCUGCACCCGAGGCGUAUAGAGGUUCCCAGGCCAGGGGUCCAAUCAGAACUGCAGCCGCUGGCCUACACCACAGCCCACUGAGCAAGGACGGGGAUCGAACCCGCAAUCUCAUGGUUCCUAGUCGGAUUCAUUACCCACUGAGGCACGAUGGGAACUCCCUUGCUUAUGUUUUAAAGUCCAAUCAGAACUGCAGCCGCCGGCCUACACCACAGCCCACUGAGCAAGGACGGGGAUCGAACCCGCAAUCUCAUGGUUCCUAGUCGGAUUCAUUACCCACUGAGCCACGAUGGGAACUCCCUUGCUUAUGUUUUAAAGCUAGUAGUGUGUUAACUUGCUAACACUAAUGGUGUCGUCUGCUCAAGGCUUUACAGUGUUUUUAUGGUUGAGUGGUAUGCAUUUCAGCAACAGGUGAGUUCAUCCUUACACGCAUUUCUAGGUUCAUAAAAACUCAGUCAAAUCUUGUAAUCAUUUCAAAUUUUAGUAAUUAAGAGGAUGCCAGGGAUUGUUUUUCUUGCUUACUCACAUUUCUGGUGUAGGCAGUGGUGUUUCUUUUUCCUAUUUGCUGGUUUCAACUGAGUUUGUCUAGGAUGGGCAAAGGGUGCUCUCAUUUAUCUUGUUUAUUUGUUUAUUUUUUUAGGAGUGCAACUGAGGCAUAUGGAAGUUCCCAGGCUAGAGGUCAAAUCAGAACCACAGCCACAUGGAUCCAAGCCCUAUCUGCAACCUUCGUUGAAACUCAUGGCAAUGCUAGAUCCUUAACCCACUGAGCGAGGCCAGGAAUCGAACCUCCAUCCUCAUGGAUACUAGUUGGGUUUGUAACCCACUGAGCUAUAGCAGGAGCUCCGUCACUUUGUUUCUUUAUGUGCUCACUGCUGUUGAUAUUUUUCUGGACCAUGUGAGAACAGGCUGCCCAUAUGAUGUUCCAUUAUCACCACCUCCUCCAGUAAAUAUUUCUAGAGACAGGGACUCUCCCUUAUAUAACCACUCAGUCAUUGCCUGGGAGCAGUCCAGGGGUGGCCUCAGCCUGAACAUAGGGGCGGGUCCUGGGGGGCUGCUGCUCAGCCACGCUUCUCAGCACGUUGUGUCUCUUCAGUCUCAUCCACGCUGUCGUUUUUCUGUCCCAUCCCUUAACCUUGAUUACCUGCCCAGGUUGGGGUCUGCCAGCCUUCUUUAGUAUAAUGUCACCAUCAUCCCCUUUGUAAUUGAUAAAUAUUAUGAAGGGAGAUACUCUAACAUUAUUCCAU